rfam:Nipponia nippon contig51215, whole genome shotgun sequence.
AAGGUGGCCUACGCCACUGCCAUGGACUGGUUUAUAGCCGUGUGCUACGCCUUC